rnacentral:rRNA from 1 species
GACGAACGCUGGCGGCGUGCUUAACACAUGCAAGUCGAACGCUGAAGACCUGGCUUUUGUUGGGUUGGAUGAGUGGCGAACGGGUGAGUAACACGUGAGUAACCUGCCCUCUUCUUUGGGAUAACGCCCGGAAACGGGUGCUAAUACUGGAUAUUCACUGAUCUUCGCAUGGGGGUUGGUGGAAAGGUUUGUUCUGGUGGGGGAUGGGCUCGCGGCCUAUCAGCUUGUUGGUGGGGUGAUGGCCUACCAAGGCUUUGACGGGUAGCCGGCCUGAGAGGGUGGCCGGUCACAUUGGGACUGAGAAACGGCCCAGACUCCUACGGGAGGCAGCAGUGGGGAAUAUUGCACAAUGGGCGAAAGCCUGAUGCAGCGACGCCGCGUGAGGGAUGGAGGCCUUCGGGUUGUAAACCUCUUUCGCUCAUGGUCAAGCCGCAACUGUGGGUUGUGGUGAGGGUAGUGGGUAAAGAAGCGCCGGCUAACUACGUG